rnacentral:rRNA from 1 species
CAGAGACUGCAAGCGUUAUUCGGAUUCACUGGGCGUAAUGGGUGCGCAGGCGGCCAAGUGUGUUAGGCGUGAAAGCCCGGGGCUUAACCCCGGAAUUGCACCUAAAACUACAUGGCUAGAGCAUUGGAGAGGGUAGCGGAAUUCACGGUGUAGCAGUGAAAUGCGUAGAUAUCGUGAGGAACACCAGAGGCGAAGGCGGCUACCUGGACAAUUGCUGACGUUCAGGCACGAAAGCGUGGGGAGCAAAAGGGAUUAGAUACCCCUGUAGUCCACGCCCUAAACGGUGCACACUAGGUCUUGGCGGAUUCGACCCCACCAGGGCCCAAGCUAACGCGUUAAGUGUGCCGCCUGAGGACUACGGUCGCAAGACUA